UACAGAGGGUGCGAGCGUUAAUCGGAAUUAUUGGGCGUAAAGCGCGCGUAGGCGGCUUGUUAAGUCAAAUGUGAAAUCCCCGAGCUUAACUUGGGCAUUGCAUUCGAUACUGGCAAGCUAGAGUAUGGGAGAGGAAGGUAGAAUUCCAGGUGUAGCGGUGAAAUGCGUAGAGAUCUGGAGGAAUACCGAUGGCGAAGGCAGCCUUCUGGCCUAAUACUGACGCUGAGGUGCGAAAGCAUGGGGAGCAAACAGG
rnacentral:rRNA from 1 species